GUUGUCUGUGGUACCCUACUCUGGAGAGUGACAAUCAUGUAUAACUAAAUUUGAUUGACACUUCUGUGAGUAGAGUAACGCAUGACAU
rnacentral:miRNA from 1 species